GAAAAUUAAUUAAUUAACUUUACUUACAAAUCCACCUUUAAUUUUAAUAUAAACUAAAAAAUCCGUAUAAAUAGAAUUAUUGUAACCCAUUAGUACUUAUGUAUAAGCUUCACCUUGACCUGACAUCUAUGUAUUUAACAAUUAAGAAAAUUGAUUCUAAAAAAAUAUUCUUAUGACGGAGGUAUAAAAACUGGAUACAAACAUAAGUAAAUAAAAACGUGGAUUAUCGAUUACACAACAGGUUCCUCUGAAAAGACUAAAAUACCGCCAAAUUCUUUGGGUUUCAAGAACUUAACUAUUACUACCCAGGUAAUAUAUUAACGUCUAGU
rnacentral:rRNA from 1 species